CAAGACAACUUUACGGAGUUGACGAUUGACGGAGCGAAGCGACGUCAAAGCGUUCAUUAAAGUCGAGUUGGCUUAGGGAUACGUUCGUUGGGUAGGGGAGCGUUCUGUAAGCCUGUGAAGGUGUGUCGUGAGGCAUGCUGGAGGUAUCAGAAGUGCGAAUGCUGACAUAAGUAACGAUAAAGCGGGUGAAAAGCCCGCUCGCCGGAAGACCAAGGGUUCCUGUCCAACGUUAAUCGGGGCAGGGUGAGUCGACCCCUAAGGCGAGGCCGAAAGGCGUAGUCGAUGGGAAACGGGUUAAUAUUCCCGUACUUGGUGUUACUGCGAAGGGGGGACGGAGAAGGCUAUGUUGGCCGGGCGACGGUUGUCCCGGUUUAAGCGUGUAGGUGUGUGUUCCAGGUAAAUCCGGUUCACUUUAACACUGAGGCGUGACGACGAGGCACUACGGUGCUGAAGCAACAAAUGCCCUGCUUCCAGGAAAAGCCUCUAAGCAUCAGGUAACACGAAAUCGUACCCCAAACCGACACAGGUGGUCAGGUAGAGAAUACCAAGGCGCUUGAGAGAACUCGGGUGAAGGAACUAGGCAAAAUGGUGCCGUAACUUCGGGAGAAGGCACGCUGACACGUAGGUGAAGUGAUUUACUCAUGGAGCUGAAGUCAGUCGAAGAUACCAGCUGGCUGCAACUGUUUAUUAAAAACACAGCACUGUGCAAACACGAAAGUGGACGUAUACGGUGUGACGCCUGCCCGGUGCCGGAAGGUUAAUUGAUGGGGUCAGCGCAAGCGAAGCUCCUGAUCGAAGCCCCGGUAAACGGCGGCCGUAACUAUAACGGUCCUAAGGUAGCGAAAUUCCUUGUCGGGUAAGUUCCGACCUGCACGAAUGGCGUAAUGAUGGCCAGGCUGUCUCCACCCGAGACUCAGUGAAAUUGAACUCGCUGUGAAGAUGCAGUGUACCCGCGGCAAGACGGAAAGACCCCGUGAACCUUUACUAUAGCUUGACACUGAACAUUGAGCCUUGAUGUGUAGGAUAGGUGGGAGGCUUUGAAGUGUGGACGCCAGUCUGCAUGGAGCCGACCUUGAAAUACCACCCUUUAAUGUUUGAUGUUCUAACGUGGACCCGUAAUCCGGGUUGCGGACAGUGUCUGGUGGGUAGUUUGACUGGGGCGGUCUCCUCCUAAAGAGUAACGGAGGAGCACGAAGGUUGGCUAAUCCUGGUCGGACAUCAGGAGGUUAGUGCAAUGGCAUAAGCCAGCUUGACUGCGAGCGUGACGGCGCGAGCAGGUGCGAAAGCAGGUCAUAGUGAUCCGGUGGUUCUGAAUGGAAGGGCCAUCGCUCAACGGAUAAAAGGUACUCCGGGGAUAACAGGCUGAUACCGCCCAAGAGUUCAUAUCGACGGCGGUGUUUGGCACCUCGAUGUCGGCUCAUCACAUCCUGGGGCUGAAGUAGGUCCCAAGGGUAUGGCUGUUCGCCAUUUAAAGUGGUACGCGAGCUGGGUUUAGAACGUCGUGAGACAGUUCGGUCCCUAUCUGCCGUGGGCGCUGGAGAACUGAGGGGGGCUGCUCCU
rnacentral:rRNA from 1 species